rnacentral:rRNA from 1 species
ACACGAACCGCACGAACGUUAUUCGGAAUCACUGGGCUUAAAGGGUGCGUAGGCGGUCCGGUAAGUUGGGUGUGAAAGCCCUCGGCUCAACCGAGGAAUUGCGCCCAAAACUACCGGACUUGAGGAAGACAGAGGUGAGCGGAACUUGCGGUGGAGCGGUGAAAUGCGUUGAUAUCGCAAGGAACACCAGUGGCGAAAGCGGCUCACUGGGUCUUUUCUGACGCUGAGGCACGAAAGCUAGGGGAGCGAACGGGAUUAGAUACCCCGGUAGUCC